AUUAUAUUAAAAUUAAGUAAUAUAUAUAAUUUCUAAUUCAAAUCUAUUUAUUGUUGAACUGGUUACUCAAUUACUAUUUCUAUAUUGUUUUCAGAUCCAUAUUAUCUUGAUUCACCACCUCUGUUUAUAUUACAAAAAUAUUGCUUUACCGUAAGUGUUACUCGAUGAUUAUCUACUAGUAGGUACCAAGUAUGAACUAACGAACUAUAACUCUGCCGUUUUUUUCAAUUUAAUGUGUUAUAAAAAUGUAAUUAACUUUGUAGAUGAGCGAAUUACAGCAGAGAAGAAAGGCGCCGAUAGUACAAGGUCAAAGGUCCUUGUCGAUUUCAUGGAACGGCAUUAGGAGCUACUCUCCGGCAAAUUUACAGCCAGUUUUUCCAAGCAAUCGGCUGUAAAGUUGUGGGAGGAAGUAACUGUCCUCCUAAAUUCAGUUCCCGGUGGUUCAAAGAAAAACUGGCCCCAGUGGAGAAAGGUAUAUUAGAAUUUCUUGUUUUUACUCAAAGUGAUUUCUUAUACUGUAAUAGUUCAUAUCUGCUACUUGAUGUAUAACAAUUUAAUACCAUAUACGAUUUUGAUUUAGAAACAGUGUUUAAUACUUUUUCAGACAUGGCAGGACAUGAAAAAAGAACUAAAUCCAAAGCUGUAGAAGACCGCAAAUAUGCCACCGGCACAGGAGGGGACCUUCAAAACAAAUUAGUAAUGAUACCGAGGCAAAAAUUUUAAAUUUAUUGUCCCCAAAGACAACAUUUGGAGAUUCGGCAAUUCCAGUGCCAAAUGUUAGUUUUUCGUUUGGGGAUUUGAAUCAACAGAGAGCCGAUCCAACUUCACCGAAUGCGGGCUAUAAUCUGUAUAAAGAGGAAGGACCGAUAGAAACUCCACAUGAUGCAAGCUUGUUUCAGUCACAAAUUCAAAAUGAGAUGCGAGAAGAGCAAACCGUAAAGAAUAGCCGCAAACGACUAUUUAAAUCAAAACGGCUCGACAGCUCAAUAAACACGGCAAACAACCUUAUUGAAAUAGACAAAGAAAAUAAAAAAACUACCGACACAUAGUUUGAAGCCAAAUGUAAAUAUAUGGAGUGGCGGCAAAAAAUAUGAACAAGUAAAACUAGAAAAACUGGACCGGAGCAACGAGAUAUAUGUGAAAGUUUUACCUGAGUUAAAAGAACUGAAGCAUAUAAUUUAAAAUAAAUAAGUUAUCAUUUUGUUUGGUAUUUUUUUUACAUGUAAUUGGCUAGUUAUGUUUUGGAAUAGUCUAUAGGCAAGAUUAAAAAACGACAUUAAUUAUCAUCGAUAUUAAUGGAUCUGGAUUAACCAGUCUUGGAUCAUUGCUUCGCUCCAUAUUACUUAAUUUUAGUAAGUCUGCUCCCUCAAUUGGGUUUUCUUCUGUUUCUGACAUGUUGGUUUUUACGCACAUGUUGUGUAGAACUACACACGCAUUAAUUAUCUUCCCUGCUCUGUCUGGUCUGUAAUGGAGCACUCGAUGUUUAAGCAAACACCUAAACCGAUUUUUCAGUACCCCAUUACAUCUUUCAAUGCCGCUUCGAACAGCCUUAAUCCUGCUGUCAAAGCGUUCUUCUGCUACAUUGACUGGAAGAGAAUCUAAUGGCGUGAGUAGCCAUGGACGAAAAGUGUAGGCGGAAAGUAAAAACGCAUUUGGAUGGAUUCAUUUGUAAAAUUUGAGGCACAAAAAGUUAAAGCGCCGUUCUCUGUUACGGUUAGGAAAUGUUAUUACCUGAAUAGCCUAGAAGAUAAAACACGUUGCUUGUGUUUUGCCUGUAGACACUUUCUACAAUUCCGGCUACUCUAUUCUGCUUCCAGAUAUGCAUAUAAUGGCAGCUUCCUUGGAAACGUCCAUCAACAUUCAUUAUUUCCAGUUUUUCAUUGCAGAUCUAAAAUUUUGUAAUAUUUACUAAGCGUAACUGAUAACAAGUCAAGAACAUAGUAUUUGUUGACCAAAAUAAACCUCUUACCAACUGAA
rnacentral:lncRNA from 1 species